rnacentral:lncRNA from 13 species
UGAAAAUGACUGGAGCAAUUUGUAAGCAGUAAGUAAAUUUUCCAAAAUUAAGUAGAAAGAUAUUGUUUGUUUUAACUAUUUGUUUAAUUACGUUUUCACGUUCUACGUUAUUUUUAUAUUUUAAAUCUUCCUAAUUACAGGUCUGUUCUUGGAAGGAUUUUAUGAUAUUAUGCUUAAACGACCAAUUUUCAUAUUUAAUGAACAAGAACUUGAACUAUUGAUCAGUGGCUUGCCUACUGUAAAUGUCUUAAAGGAGGAUCUUAAAGCAAAUAUUGACUAUCAUAAAUACACUGCUACGUUUUUAUAAAUUCAAUGGUUCUGGUGCAUUGUGAGGUUUUAAUCAAGCGGAUUGUUCGAAGUUCUUACAAUUCAUCACUGGUACAUCUAAAGUGCUGUUACAAGGUUUUCUGCGUUAGAAGGCAUGAAUGGCAUACAAAAGUUCCAAAUUCACAGAGAAGACAAGUUGACAGACAGGCUUUCAUUUGCACAUAUUUGUUUCAAUCAACUGGAUUUGCCAGUGUACGAGACGUAUGAUAAACUCUGAACAAAUCUACUCAAGGCGACUUACGAAUGCACCAAAGAAUUUGGAUUUGCAUAAGCUUACCAGAAUUUGC